rnacentral:rRNA from 1 species
AUUGAACGCUGGCGGCAGGCUUAACACAUGCAAGUCGAGCGGAGCGAGGGUGCUUGCACCUUAGCUUAGCGGCGGACGGGUGAAUAAUGCUUAGGAAUCUGCCUAUUAGUGGGGGACAACAUUCCGAAAGGGAUGCUAAUACCGCAUACGCCCUACGGGGGAAAGCAGGGGAUCUUCGGACCUUGCGCUAAUAGAUGAGCCUAAGUCGGAUUAGCUAGUUGGUGGGGUAAAGGCCUACCAAGGCGACGAUCUGUAGCGGGUCUGAGAGGAUGAUCCGCCACAAUGGGACAGAGACACGGCCCAGACUCCGACGGGGGGCAGCAGUGGGGAAUAUUGGACAAUGGGGGGAACCCUGAUCCAGCCAUGCCGCGUGUGUGAAGAAGGCCUUUUGGUUGUAAAGCACUUUAAGCGAGGAGGAGGCGCUCUAGGAUAAUACCCUAGAUGCGUGGACGUUACUCGCAGAAUAAGCACCGGCUAACUCUGUGCCAGCCGCCGCCGUAAUAC